AAAGCUGAGAUUAAUAAAGUCCUUCCCCCCUUCUCAUUUCCAUGGAAACUGCGAAGCGGUCACCCUGUAUUCAGCCUUGUGGAUCAAAUUGGAACAGCUGACCAGAGACUACCCUCCACAGAACCACUGCAGUAGCUUUCAUGUAUUCUCUGCUGGAAUGAGCUGCAGAAGCAAACGAAAAUCACUGCAGUGCCAGAGUCCAGAAGGACUCUGCUUGAUAACAGAACAGUUCUUUGGCAUACUACAGUGCCAGCCACUGGGAGUGAGUCAUCAGCUGCCACGGCUGAAUAAGCUAGAAUCUUCUCGGAUCUUUUCACCGGCCCAUCCAUCUUGUAAUGCAGCCACUCGAGUGGGGUCCAUCUUCACCAAUUGGGAAAGAAGGUCUCUUAAGAAACCAGUCUUCAGUGCAUCUUGCCAAGAUGGUGAAUUGAAAAUGAGAUCGAUGCUUCAGCCCAUUAACACUGUAUUUGAUGAAGCCCUCUCCCUUUAUGUUCUGUAUAGACUGUGAGGAGCCCCUGCGUUGCUACAGUAGGGAAUCACCAGGAAAUAGUUAAAAACAGGAUAAAACCAACUGGAACUUUCUCCAUCUUUUGAGCCUCACUUACAAGGAUUAAUGAGCAGGAGGUGGAAGCUUUUGUUUAGGAUCAGAGGCCACCACGGCUCCCAAGUGCCUUCUACAAAGAUCUUUCUCUUCAGCUGUUGGAAAUUGUGCUGCCCCAAACCUAUGGUUCGUGACUAAGAGGGCCAAAGACACCACCCUUGCUGAUUACAAGAAGCGUGGGGUCCAGGAGGGCCGGCCGGUGUCGUCGACGAUCCGGCGGGUCUCCAGAAGAGCGGGAACAUUUGGACGUGGCACUGUAGCACCUAGCCACUCAACGGUGGGACCAACGCCACCCCCGGAAUGAGACUGAUGGAGUGGUGGUGUAAUUGCCGACAAGAACGUAAGUCGAUCGCUACAGACGACCACAGCGUGGAAUACUGAUGAAACUUCGUUCCCAAGAAGGGCAUCAGAAUGACCGUGGAAAGUAGACUGGAGAGCACUGGGGAAAAAGAGAACACCAGUUUCUUCUGGAGAAUGAAGUUCUGAGGGAGAACAGCAUCAACAUUUGCACUGCAGUGUGCUGGAGACAUUCAGACAUGUCUGGACUCGUCCACGUGUAGAUGCCCGUACUCGUCGUCACACGGUCUGGAAAACAGACAAAAUCAACUCAGCUGGGAAAAUCUGAUAAGCGAAGGCCGUGAGAAGAUCUCCCACAUCCGAGCCUCGGUAUAUCGUCUCUCGUCCGGCUGCGCUCUUCCAAGUCGGAGACUUGUGAUCGACCGCUACUGAACGCUGUGAAGCUUUGCCGGCGCAAAAAUCCACUGGCUCUUCCGUCAAGCCUCUAACACUUCCUUCCUCAUUUAAGUCAUCUGCAAAGGAAGUGAAACAUUCCUGGGUGAAGAAGAAUGAACAACCACAGAGCAUCAACUCAAGGCAUUGGUUUCUAGCCUGUGUAAUGGGGAUUCCAUGCAUGCUCUUCUCCCCACUAGACUGCAAGCCCCAUGUGGGACAGGGACUCGAUUAGACCUGAUUAACUUAUAUCUACCCCAGCACAGAGAUGCCAAUUAAGUUUCCUUUACUACGGUGUGCACCAUAAAAUGUUCCCUUGCCCAUUGCUUUUUCCCCAGCGUGAAUAAAUUUCUGAAUUUAA